CAGGCGCGGCUGCAGGGGCGCUAGGGGCUCCCAAUGCCUGGGUGUUGCGGGAUCAUGUCAACAGGGGCGCCCAUCAGCGGCAGGGGCACCCGCCACGGGGCACCAAGGCGAUGCUGGAUGGCGCUUGGGCGGCGCCUGGAGCCGGCAGGAGGGGCGCCGGAGGGCUGAUGACGCCAAGAGGUCCUGCAUGCAAAGGAAACUGUGUCGUUCGAAUGGGGAACAGCACAAUGUCAGUGUUGUCAUCCAAAAACUCAUAGGCUGCCGGUGGGGAUGGUGGGAAUAGCUCGGCGUAGGGGAACGAUGACUCAUCAAAUGUGACAUGUCGGGAGACGAUACGAUUAGAACGGAGAUCAAGGCAACGGUACCCUUUAUGAUGAGCUGAAUAUCCUAAGAAGAUGCACGCGGCAGAGAGAGGCGAUAGCUAAGGAGUGGCCGUGGCAGAGAGGUUUGGAUAACAUCGACAACCAAAGACCCGUAAGUGCUCGUAGGAUGGCGCGGCGCCAUACAGGGCCUCAUGUGGCGUGCGGGAGGCUAGGGUCUUGGUGGGAAGCAGGUUAAGCAGGUAAGUCGUGGCGUGUAGAGCUUCAACCAAUAACGGGGUGGGAGGGCAGGGGGAAGGCUUGCCUGGAAGAGGAGUGAGCAGAGGAUGUUGUUCGUUGAACGAAUGAUCCGCUCAGCUCGACCGUUUUGCGGCAACGUGUACGGGUAAGACAUGCAGAAGUGGACGCCAUGGGAGUUAUCAAACUCACGACCGUUGUCGCACUGGACAGCCUUAAUGGUGGCGCCGAACUGCGUGGACACGGAGGAAAAGAAGUUAGCAAGUGUAGCAAAUGUGUUUGAUUUCAGCCGUAGCGGGAAUGUCCAUGAAAAAUGAGAGCAAUCAUCGAGAAUAAUUAAAUAGUACUUAAAAGGGUGCCCAGUCAGGGUGACUAGGAAGCGGGCUGUCCUCCAGGACAUGGGCGUCGAGGGAGAACUUCCCGAUAGUGAGCAGGAACUGCUCGCGCCAGCGGACGUAGUUGGUGGAGGCGACAUCGAGGAUGAACAGGACAAGGCUGCGGAUGUUCUGGACCGCAACAGCC
rnacentral:lncRNA from 1 species